UGGUUUUUAAAUCUAAGUCUGAGUUCCUGUAGUACAUUCUGACCUCAGUGAAGAAAGGGACUGUCUGUUAGCUCAUUAUCCCCUCAACUAGCAUAGCAGUUCUCAAACUUUUUGUUCUCAGGACCGACCUCAUUUAUAGUGUUAAAAAUUAUAGAAACACAGGUUGUAGGAACAUAAAAUGCUACUCAGCACUAUGGGAAGUAGUUUGGUGGGCUUCUCAAAAAUUCAGUAUAUGCUGCAGAGAAUUGAGAACAUGUUCAUAGCAGCAUUAUUUAUAAUAGUCAAAAGGUAGACUAACCCAAAUGUCUGGGUUGAAUGGACAAACAAAAUGUGUCCUGUGGAAUAUUAUUUUGUCAUAGAAAGAAGGGAACUACUAAUACCUUCUACAACAUGGAUGAACCCUAAAAACUUCAUGCCAAGUGAAAAAAGUCAGCCACAAAAGGCCAUAUAUAGAUGAAAUGUUCAGAGUAGAAAAAUUAUGGAGACAAAGUAGGUUGGUGAUUGCCCGUGGAUGGGGGAGAGGAGGAUGGAAGUGGUGGAGGAUGGGGAUUCGGCUUCUGUUUAAAGUGAUUAGUGAAAUUGCAUGGUAAUGGAGGGAGAUCCUCAUUGUUACACAAAAUUACAUAUAAGAGGUUGUGAGGGGAAUGGGAAAAUAAAC
rnacentral:lncRNA from 1 species